CAAAGAAUAAAAUAUUCAAUCCCUCUUUUCAGUUUUCACUCACCCACGAUAUCAUCCUCAACCUCCCUCAACCCCCAACCGACUCGCCCUCACUCUAGCUAUUCUUUGGCAAAAUCCCAUAUUAUUCUCAGUAAAAUGAUCUCCUCAACUCAAUUCUCCCCCAUUCCUUUCAAGUUAAAUGGGAAAUCUGGAGAAGCACAUAAUUCUCACUUUCACCGCUAAUUUCAUCAUGAUUUACAAGCUUCUUUGGAUUUCACGAUUUGAUUUGUAAUUGCACAAUUGAAGAUUUGAACUCAAUCACAACACCGUGAACAGAUUCUUCGCCGCCAAUUUCACCGAAGAGAGAAGGCAGACUGCAAGGGGUUGGUCAAUGCCUAAUCUACGAGUUUAGGAUGGUUUGCCAUGUUUGGCAAGGAGAUGUAAGCAAAGAUUUCUUCGAGGGUUUCCGAGCAAUCUUGGUUGACAGAGACAAAAAUCGUAAGGUAUGAAGGCCUAGACAAGUUAGGUUAAGGCUUCGACUAGAGCCUAAGACGAUGUGUUUUGUAGCGACCAAAGUCACAGCAGACGGGAAGAUCUCCAGGCCCUUUGGGUUGUUUACAUUUUUCAGAUACAUUCGAUUUGCUCCUUUCAUUAAGUAGCCCAGAGAGCCUCUUUCACUUGGUAGAGGUUCACGAAGACAUGAUAGUCGCAGCAAAUAGAGCAUACUGACAUGGGGUAGAGAAGGAAAUUGCAAACGAAUAUCUCCUGGACUAGAUUUAUGGAGACCACGGAAUUCAAGUCGGUCCCCUAGGAAUGGUUGGAGCCGCUCUCACAGCUGUCUAGGACUAGUCAAAGCAGAAGGAGGAGCCGGAGCUAGAGCCCAACUCCUAACUUUAGACAGGAGCCUACAUCAAUUGAUAGGAGUAGAAAUGUCUGGAGUUUCAGCACAAAUAUGUAGAGAUUUUGUUGCUGGAAGAUACAGGAGAGGGAAUAGUUGCCAUUUCCUUCCAACCUUUUAAAAGGUAGUGCUUAGCAGAUAAUUCAGGUAGCAAAUUUCCGGUAUGUACCUGUGAGGUAUCAGCUCCUGUAUUCAAGCAUUUCUUUCGUGGCUUGAACAACAGAAAGAUGUGGCUUGGAAACAGUGGUUUGUAAAACUGUCAAUUGUAACUGGAAGUUUUCACCAGGAAAAAACUUGUAAAACAGGUUUCAGGAUAGCUUAGAAAUGCAGACUUGGCUUCUUAUAUGCGAAACAUCUCUUUAGUUUCACCAGGAAAAUACUUGUAAAACAGGUUUCAUGAUAGCUCAUAAAUGCAGACUUGGCUUCUUAUAUGAAAAACAUCUCUUUAUCAGUUCAUCCACUUUCAAUAAUGUGUAAAAUAGCAUCAUUUCAUUUGAUCCCAACUGAAGAUGUUGAAUCAAGUGAAUUUUUCAAGUUAUAUAUAAACGUUGUUCCCGCGCCGUUUUGUAGUUUUUAACUAAAGGCUUUGCAGAUUUGAUGAUUUGGAGAUUACUUAUGUAUGCACAGGGGUAGGACAUUUGAGAGGGUACUCAAUAGGUCAGACUCUCGUCUUGAGGACAGAACCUAACAAUAUAAUUAUUAUGGAUUGGAACAUGUUGGUUGUGGUUCCUCCCCGGAAUUUAAGGUCUCCAUUGUAUAGCAGGUGCAUGAAUCUUUCUUUAACUUUUUGGGUGAUAUUUAAGUUAAUGUCGUUAUUUUUGUCGACAAUAUAUUAGGAGGCUAAUGUUCUGUGCAAGUGUUGUAGAAAUUUUUCUUUGAUAUAUGAAUUACUCUGAUUUCACAUGCUUUUAGUUGGGUAAUUCUAUGUAUAUUUAGGAUAA